CUCUAUUCUGCAAUCAGCUUCAUGAUCUGAUUGAUUCCCUUAAUGACUCCUUAGUUCCUUAGCUCUCCGGAGGCAUUGCAGAAAUCAACAUUCCUCUCAACUUGGGGCAGAAAUUGAAUGAGACAGAAGAAACAGGAACUUACAGUCUAGCUGGGGAGACAGUCCCGGCCUAAUUUACAGACAGAAGGAGGAAGACCGAGACAUGUAGUGAACGUCAUAAUCCCAGUGUGAUCUGGAUUCCCGCGGUCGCUUUCAUCUGCGCUUCUCCAAGCGCUUCUCCAAUGGUAAUUAAAGCGCAUUUGUCUUUCA